rnacentral:tmRNA from 1 species
GGGGAUGCUCUGGAUUUGAUUGGAAGAGCAACAUAUGAGAGCAAGCCAAAAUCGAUAGUAAUUUGUAAAAAACUAUCAAACAAUAAGUGCUGAUGAAUUUGCAUUCCAGCCUGCAUACGCCCAAGCUUACGCCUAAGUGUAUGUGCCGGAAAACCUAAGGUAAAUCCUUAUUAUUCCGGGGUCCUACAGCUACUAUCCUGAGGUGGCUGCCAGGGCAUAAUAAAGUCAGGAGAAACUACCGGGAAGUGGCUGUUUCCGGUUUUUACAAAAGCCGCCAUUAAGCAUUUGGGUUUGUGAGUUUCCCUGCUUUUUGGUAAAAAUUCACUAAGCUUGUAAACUUUUGUAUCACGGUCUUUCAAGACGGGGGUUCGACUCCCCCCAUCUCCACCA